rnacentral:lncRNA from 1 species
AAGAGGGUGAGUGCUGAAAAAUGUUGUUGCUCAAUUUGUGCAAAAUAAAUAAAAUUUACUAGUUAAUUAAUUGUGCAGCAUUUACUAAUGUUUACCAUUUAUUAUUAUUAUUUUUCUGAAAAUUCUUACAAUUUAUUUAACUAUUAUAUAAAUAUGCACAACUCUCCAUCAAUCACACACACACACACACUCUCUCUCUCUCUCUCUCUCUCUCUCUCUCU